CGUAGGGUGCGAGCGUUAAUCGGAAUUACUGGGCGUAAAGCGUGCGCAGGCGGUUUGUUAAGAUAGGCGUGAAAUCCCCGGGCUCAACCUGGGAACUGCGCUUAUGACUGGCAAGCUAGAGUACGGCAGAGGGGGUGGAAUUCCACGUGUAGCAGUGAAAUGCGUAGAGAUGUGGAGGAACACCAAUGGCGAAGGCAGCCCCCUGGGUCGAUACUGACGCUCAUGCACGAAAGCGUGGGUAGCAAACAGGAUUAGAUACCCUGGUAGUCCACGCCCUAAACGAUGUCAACUAGGUGUUGGAUGGGUAAAACCAUUUAGUACCGAAGCUAACGCGUGAAGUUGACCGCCUGGGGAGUACGGCCGCAAGGUUA
rnacentral:rRNA from 1 species